AACUUUCAACAACGGAUCUCUUGGUUCU
rnacentral:ncRNA from 4 species